rnacentral:snRNA from 14 species
AUCCUCCCCUGGCAGGCCAGAUACCACAAUCAUCCGGGUGGUUUUUUCCCAGGGUGAGGCUUGUCCCUUGCACUCCGGGUACCUCAGGGUUUGCCCCAAACGCAGGAAACUCAGCUGCACAGUUCUGUGGCAACGGGGCAGUGCUUCCCCCUGGCUCCUG